rnacentral:rRNA from 1 species
CCUACGGGUGGCAGCAGUGAGGAAUAUUGCACAAUGGGGGAAACCCUGAUGCAGCAACGCCGCGUGAGUGAAGAAGUAUUUCGGUAUGUAAAGCUCUAUCAGCAGGGAAGAAAAUGACAGUACCUGACUAAGAAGCCACGGCUAACUACAUGCCAGCAGCCGCGGUAAUACGUAGGGGGCAGGGGUUAUCCGGAUUUACUGGGUGUAAAGGGAGUGUAGACGGGUGGGCAAGUCAGAAGUGAAAGCCCGGGGCUCAACCGCGGGAGUGCCUUUGAAACUGUGUAGCUUGAGUGCAGGAGAGGUAAGCGGAAUGCGUGGUGUAGCGGUGAAAUGCGUAGAUAUCACGAGGAACACCGGUUGCGAAGGCAGCUUACUGGACUGUAACUGACGUUGAGGCUCGAAAGCGUGGGGAGCAAACAGGAUUAGAUACCCUAGUAGUC